rnacentral:rRNA from 1 species
ACUCCUACGGGAGGCAGCAGUGGGAAUAUUGCACAAUGGGCGCAAGCCUGAUGCAGCCAUGCCGCGUGUGUGAAGAAGGCCUUCGGGUUGUAAAGCACUUUCAGUCGUGAGGAAGGUAGUGUAGUUAAUAGCUGCAUUAUUUGACGUUAGCGACAGAAGAAGCACCGGCUAACUCCGUGCCAGCAGCCGCGGUAAUACGGAGGGUGCAAGCGUUAAUCGGAAUUACUGGGCGUAAAGCGCGCGUAGGUGGCUUGAUAAGCCGGUUGUGAAAGCCCGGGCUGCAACCUGGGAACGGCAUCCGGAACUGUCAAGCUAGAGUGCAGGAGAGGAAGGUAGAAUUCCCGGUGUAGCGGUGAAAUGCGUAGAGAUCGGGAGGAAUACCAGUGGCGAAGGCGGCCUUCUGGACUGACACUGACACUGAGGUGCGAAAGCGUGGGUAGCAAACAGGAUUAGAUACCCUGGUAGGCUCUG